UACGUAGGGGAUAAGCGUUGUCCGGAUUUAUUGGGCGUAAAGAGCGUGUAGGCGGCCAGAUAGGUCGGUUGUGAAAACUGGAGGCUUAACCUCCAGCCGUCGACCGAAACCAUCUGGCUAGAGUCCGGAAGAGGAGAGUGGAAUUCCUGGUGUAGCGGUGAAAUGCGCAGAUAUCAGGAAGAACACCCGUGGCGAAGGCGGCUCCCUGGGACGGUACUGACGCUGAGACGCGAAAGCGUGGGGAGCGAACAGG
rnacentral:rRNA from 1 species